rnacentral:rRNA from 1 species
CCUACGGGUGGCAGCAGUGGGGAAUAUUGGACAAUGGGCGAAAGCCUGAUCCAGCCAUGCCGCGUGUGUGAAGAAGGCCUUCGGGUUGUAAAGCACUUUCAGUGGGGAAGAAAGCCUUGGGGCUAAUACCCUCGAGGAAGGACAUCACCCACAGAAGAAGCACCGGCUAACUCCGUGCCAGCAGCCGCGGUAAUACGGAGGGUGCGAGCGUUAAUCGGAAUUACUGGGCGUAAAGCGCGCGUAGGCGGUCUGAUAAGCCGGUUGUGAAAGCCCCGGGCUCAACCUGGGAACGGCAUCCGGAACUGUCAGGCUAGAGUGCAGGAGAGGAAGGUAGAAUUCCCGGUGUAGCGGUGAAAUGCGUAGAGAUCGGGAGGAAUACCAGUUGCGAAGGCGGCCUUCUGGACUGACACUGACGCUGAGGUGCGAAAGCGUGGGUAGCAAACAGGAUUAGAUACCCCAGUAGUC